rnacentral:rRNA from 1 species
UACGUAGGGUGCAAGCGUUAUCCGGAAUUAUUGGGCGUAAAGAGCUCGUAGGCGGUUUGUCGCGUCUGCUGUGAAAACUGGAGGCUCAACCUCCAGCUUGCAGUGGGUACGGGCAAACUAGAGUGCGGUAGGGGAGAUUGGAAUUCCUGGUGUAGCGGUGGAAUGCGCAGAUAUCAGGAGGAACACCGAUGGCGAAGGCAGAUCUCUGGGCCGUAACUGACGCUGAGGAGCGAAAGCGUGGGGAGCGAACAGG